UGAUGACAUCACACAGGGCGUCACAGCCCCACAGGGGCCCCUGCCUGUAAGCUCCAACCAGCAGGUGGAAUCCAGGAGUUCCAAGGUCCUAAGGGUCCUUACCCCUCAGCUGAGAAAAUAGGGAAAGCCUCAUAUUAGAUGGAGUCUCGCUCUGUCCCCCAGGAUGGAGUGCAGUGGUGCAAUCUCUGCAAUCUCUGCGAUCUCCGCUCACUGCAAGCUCCGCCUCCCGGGUUCACGCCAUUCUCCUGUCUCAGCCUCCGGAGUAGCUGGGACUACAGGCGCCCACCACCACGCCCGGCUAAUUUUUUGUAUUUUUAAUAGAGAUGGGGUUUCACCGUGUUAGCCAGGAUGGUCUCCAUCUCCGGACCUCGUGAUCGGCCCGACUCGGCCUCCCAAAGUGCUGGGAUUACAGGCGUGAGCCACCGCGCCCGGCUAAUUUUUAGCAUUUUUGAAAUAAACUUAAGAAAAAGAACAAGCUUUCAGAAAACAUGAAGAAACUUAAAGAUGAGCCAAAGGGUUAUUUGAUUGCCUUUUAAUUCUUUACUCUACGUUACUCAACAUUUAGAUGUCAGUACACAAGUUCAGCCAAAUGCUUGUGAAAUUUCUUCUGAACGCAUCCCAGGAGACUUGACCCUCCCCGCUUCAGGAUGCUGACUCUGUUUUGCCUGAAACCAGACAAGCUCUGCUUCAGGGUCUGUGAGUGGAAGGGGGUGGGUGGGAACCUCUCGCAACCUCUCCUGGGACAGACACAAUGGGCAAUCGUGACCUCCUGGGGUAGAUACUGAAACUGUGACAAGUGAUAACAAAACUGGCAGAAAUCAGUUGGACCCAAUAUGGCCAACUGGAGUUUCUGCAGAAAGAGCUUGCUGAUAUCACAGCCUGAAUUUCCACGCAUGUUUCGUAUUAACUGCCCCGGAAUUUGAUUUGCACACAGCACCCAUGAGGAAGCAUGAAGAGAUAACUGCGCAUGUCUGAGGACUUGCCAGACCUCCUCUUUCCUUCCACCGAUCUCCUGCUAAUCCCGGAACCCACCCUCUAACCCUUUUCUAAUAAAAUUAUUUCCUUAAAGGCAGCACAGCGAGACAGAUUUGAGCUGGACUCCUGUCUCCGUGUUGGUCAAUUUGCAAUGAAAAGCUUUUCUUUUCUCUGAAACCCAGUGUCUUAGUAUUUAUUGGCUUCUAGCGCACGGGUCAGUGACCUCUUUUGCUCGGUAACAACAUAAUGGGCUAUAAUGACCUCCUGGGGCAGACGGACGGGCAUUAAUGACGUCCAAGCCAAACUCAUGAGUCUCCUUUCUGCAGGCUCGAUGGGAAGGUCCUUCUUGCCCAUUAAUAAUAUAAAACAGGUGAGCAAAAGUGACCUGCACCACUGCCAGGCCUGACCCAAAAGCCUCCCCAGAGGUUCCUUCUAUGUUCUUCCUGGGGUGAUGACAAUCAACACAACAUUGGAAACCACGUGUUCAAGAUGGCAGAGCCACCAUCAGCCUGGUUCCUGAAUGACCACGUGGAGCAACAUGGAAUAUCCAAGUGAGCAAGAAAUAGAGUCUUAUCUUCUUGCUUCAUUAUAUUUCGGAUAUUCUUGAAAAGGGGUUCAGCCUACCCCAAAUACAAGAGACAUGAAAGAAAAGGAUAAAGAUGAAAAAUAAGUGAAUGGUGUCAAGUGAAAUAAACAAUGUAACACUGAGAACAAGCUAGAUAUUCAGUAUUUUUCUGUGAUAUAAAGGACGUAUGAGAUGUGGAU
rnacentral:lncRNA from 1 species